CAGAAUUUUAUAGAAAGUGGCGAUUUAAGUCGGUGAUGCAGCCUGUUAUAACAAGCUGAACAUGUCUGAACAGGCUCGGUUUCUACGGGAACCAGUUUGUUAUUCGUUUCGGUUGAGUUUUAUGCAGGGCUGCAGUUCUGUUCAUGUGAUGAUGGUUAAAUUGGCAUGCUGAUUUUAUGGAUUAUGCAGGGGUCAUAUUGAGUUUGUGAUGUUAACUGGCUUGGACAGUUAUGGGCUUUAUGUGUUAAGUGCUGCAGGCUUGAAUCUUUCCAGCAAAUUGAAGUGGAAUGUAUAGCUGCUUAAUUGCUGUAUAUAUAUUUUUGUGAAUUUUUAUUUGACAUGAGAUAGGGUAUAGUAUAGUAUAUUCAAUUCAAUUUAAUUGUAUAUUGUAUAGUAUACUACAAAUUCAUAUACAUUUCACAGAGUUAGAAAUUAAGUGCGCGAAAGAGAUUGUAAAAUGAAGAAGACAACCAAACGUCCUUCCAAGUAAUCUCACCAUGCUGAAAAUGGAAACGGAAAACCACUAUAACCUCCUUCGCAACCGCGACCGUAUGAUAUCAGGUUUUCCAAAUGAGGGGGCUGCUGAUUGUGUAGACUCUUACAAGCAUAUGUCCGUGAUAGUCGUGUUAAAUUCUGUGGAACUACUGGUUGAUCUAAUUCGCUUUCCUGGCCAAAUGUUACCACGAUCAAUCAAGUCAAUUCUUAUGACACACAUUUCUGCAGCGAGAGGGAGUGAUUCAGCAGAAAAUGAUUCGUGUGAUUCAACAUAAACCAAAGAGUCCUUUAUAUGGAGUUUCAGAGAGGUAAGAUCCCGAGUGUUUGGAAAUAACUGACGCAUUGCUCAAACACUGACGCAUCAUGUUGAUAACAGGCACUUAUCACAUAAAACAUCAACUGAUAAUUGACACUUACCAGAUCCAAUGCAGAUUCAUUAUGCUGAUAAUAGUCACUUGAAGCUAUGGGCUUAAGGAUUCACUGUUUCCAAUUACUUUGCUGAAAGUAAAAUUAUAUAUGUAGCCUCUGUGAGCACAUGUGUUUCAGUUGUCUAUAUUCAUUUGCAUCUAUUGUGAAAUGAAUUUAUGCAUUAUGCACUUUAAGAAUUCAGGACUGCCUGCAAAUGAAGAUAAUGUUAUUGCGAUGAUGUGAUUUCUAAAUGCAGACACAGAAGAAUCUAUUUCGUAUGGACAUUUCUGCAAUUUCAUGCUCCUGCUUCCGUCAGAUCGACUUCAAGAGGAUCCGAGACUCGAGUACAAGCAUCAACCAUGUCUUUCCCUGAAAUAAUUGCUAAGCUGCCAGAGAUCGGGACACGUGGUUUAUACAGGGGUUCAAUACCUGCAAUUUUUGGACAGUUUUCAAGGUUGCUUAUUAAAUCUCUCUGUUUCCUCUCUGCUACUUUCUUUUAUGUUGGGAAUAUGAGCUUCAGUAGUACUUUAUUCUCUCAAUCAUUGAGUAGGGCCAUUUUCCUUUCAAUCUUAUUCUAGAUUUUGUAACUGUAGCCACAGCCUGCGAAUUGGGAUAUUGCACUAUUAAAAUAGUGGUUUUGUUUCCCAUUAUUAGUGUGUCACUGUGUCUAGAGUUUCUUGUAUCACUCGGCUUGACUCGGAUUCAAUUGAUGAACUUGCUUCAUCCAACAAUAAGAUAGGUGCAUUUUUCAAUACUACUCUUGCAAUUGCAAUUUUCUGUUUCUGUCCUGGGGUUAAGUCUAAACCUCUAAUCCCAACAUGAGUGUCGUAACCGUGAGGCAAACUGCUAAUAAAAUGAUGAGCAUUUGCUACUCUUGCUGCUUCUUUCAUCUCAGCUUCAUCGGCAUUGUGUCUUGCAUAUAUAAUGUUAUCCCUUAUUAUUGUUGAGAAGAUAAUAGUUCCUACUGUAUCAGACCGAAGUGGCUCCUCAACCAUCUCAAGUUAUAGAGCUUUAAAUCCCUUCCGUCCAGUAAAACUUGGCCCGCAACUGGAUCAUAAAAUCGCUGCAUCAAAGAUAUUAUAAUGCUCUUUCCUGAACCUGAAACUCCAACAACAACAACUGUUUGGCCUCCAUUCAUUUUCAGUUUAAAAUUUCUCAAUACUAACACUUCGGGUUAUGAUGGAUAACAAAAAUCAAUAUUUUUUAACUCAAUGCUUCCAUAUUUUUGUCAGCUGGAGCUUGCAGGUUACUGUAUACUUAUGUUCCAUAUUUUUGUCAACUGAUGUUAAAUAAAUACGAGCUACUAGGAAAAAUGGAUCGUCACGCCGAACUUUAUGAUAAAAUGGUAUUUCUUCUUCAUCCAGGUUUGCAAUAUAUUUGCUUUUGAGACAAGAACAGAAUUCGAAGGGUAUUUCUUGCGAUAUAUCUAUGCAGACAAAGUGGCUUCGGUCGUUGUUUUUGUUCAUUUGAUUGAUGUGUGCAGACAAAGUGGCCAUUGUAUACGAGAACUAUAUUAUAGACAUAACUUUGAUGGAUUUAUUUUUUGAUGCAGCUUUUACAAACAUGCUUCUAUUUACUUCUUGAGAGUUAAAGAAGGCAGAACUGUGUAUCACGAGCAAAUAUGUUACAAUUGACUACUUUGAAUGUGUGUUUCUUUUGUCUUUGUAAUUUAGUCUUUUAUUUAUUAUAGACAUGAUUGGAGAUGAAGUAUUUGUUAGGACUAGCAGCUUUGAAGAUCUUAACAAGAUGAUGUACAACAGGAAAUGAUGUACA